UACGGAGGGUGCGAGCGUUACCCGGAAUCACUGGGCGUAAAGGGCGUGUAGGCGGGACUUUAAGUCUGACGUCAAAGGCAACGGCUCAACCGUUGUAGGGGGUUGGAUACUGGAGUUCUAGAGUUCUGGAGAGGAAACUGGAAUUCUUGGUGUAGCGGUGGAAUGCGUAGAUACCAAGAGGAACACCGAUGGCGAAGGCAGGUUGCUGGACAGAAGGUGACGCUGAGGCGCGAAAGUGUGGGGAGCGAACCGG
rnacentral:rRNA from 1 species